rnacentral:piRNA from 1 species
GCCAACAGCAUGCUGGGUAACACUGUA